CCCUGUCUCCCAACAGAGGUAACUGAUCUUAGGACAGAAUAGGCCCACCCAGAUCAGUCUUAUCUACACCUGCAAUUGGAGCACAUUACACACCUAUGACAGCUACAGGUAUGAAAGUGUAUAUGAAAAUUAUGCACCAUCACAGAAGGGUCAUAGGUGGGAGAUAUUGUUUCACCAUAAAAGGAGAGAGGAGAGACACAAAAUACAGUGUGUCACUCUCACACUCACUACUGUGGCAUUGCCUGAGUCAUUAUCUACAGCCAACAGCUCCUGUGUAUAUUUCUAAAAACAUUUUUGAAAGCAUGUGAAAACAGUCGACCCCGAAAGCAAAUCUCAUUUCCAUAUAUCCUGUUUCACUUCUCUCUCUGCAUUAUGCAUAAUAACAGGUGGCAGGUUUGGGACCUUCAAAGAACUCCUAACCAUGAUCCAAUGAAUGUGCUGCUGGUGCCUUUAUGUUCUCUCUUGACCUACAAUUAACAGAUGCAGGGGACAAGGAGAAUCAGACAAACACUUGGAAUACCCAGGAGAAGAAGCACCAGAUCUCAGUAAGCCUGAAGUUUGUGACCCUGACUGAAGUGGUUGAGCUGAGCUGUGAGUCCUCUGUCCUUGUAGAGGGUCAGCAGUGUUUGUUCUAGGUGGAUUCUAAACUCAAGGAGUUUGGUCGCUCAAAUGCCAUGCCAACCAAUGCUCCCUCCCAGUAAAGAGGUCAGAGCUGCUUGGGUGGAAGCCCAGAGGGCUGUGGUCAAAGGUCACCGUCCAGUGUCAUUACGAAGAGGAGGAGGGCGUCCACUCACCUCCCAGCAAAAAUGUGGUGUGGAACACAAACAUGCUGACUAAGUACAUCAUCGGAUGUAUGGCCCUGAUAGGAUUCAUGAUUCUACUUGCAGUAUUCAUAUUCUGCAUCACCUGUCUCCUCUCACUGAAAGCAAAGAGGAACGGACACCUCAUCAUAACAAGAUCGCCCAGUGACCAGACAUUGCCAGGAGACCCUACCGUAACAAGAAGGUGAAGAUGAUUGGUGCUAUGCCACCGUGUCCCAUGCUGGUGCUCCUCCAUCCUACUCAGUCAAGUUUGAGGAAGGCCAUGACUAUGCCACAAUGGUCAUAUACUGACCAGCAUGUGCCGACCUGAAAGGACAUGAAAGGACUUCCACAUAGAUAGAUUGUUUGAUUUUAACACCUCCAUUUCAAUUUUCUUUCCAAGAAAUCAAUUGCAUGCGUCUAUUUGCAAUGUAGUUUUGAUCAUCCAAUUUGUCACUUUAAGAGAACAAUAAAGUUUUUGUAUUCCACCA